UAAGACGAAGGUGACGACCGUUGCUCGGAAUUACUGGGCAUAAAGCGCGCGUAGGUGGCAGGGUAAGUCCAUGGUGAAAUCCCUCGGCUCAACCGAGGAAGUGCCGUGGAUACUGCUCUGCUUGAGGACGGGAGGGGUGAGUGGAACUCUCGGUGUAGCGGUGAAAUGCGUAGAUAUCGAGAGGAACGCCGGUGGCGAAAGCGACUCACUGGACCGUUUCUGACACUGAUGCGCGAAAGCUAGGGGAGCAAACAGGAUUAGAUACCCUGGUAGUCCUAGCUGUAAACGAUGGGUACUGGGUAAGGGAGGUCCAAUGCCUUCCUUGCCGGAACAAAUGCGUUAAGUACCCCGCCUGGGGAGUAUGGUCGCAAGGCUA
rnacentral:rRNA from 1 species